AUACGUCGGUGGCAAGCGUUGUCCGGAUUUACUGGGUGUAAAGGGCGUGUAGGCGGCUGUCUAAGUCUGGAGUGAAAGUCCUGCUUUCAAGGUGGGCAUUGCUUUGGAGACUGGAUGGCUUGAGUGCGGAAGAGGUAAGUGGAAUUCCCAGUGUAGCGGUGAAAUGCGUAGAGAUUGGGAGGAACACCAGUGGCGAAGGCGACUUACUGGGCCGUAACUGACGCUGAGGCGCGAAAGCGUGGGGAGCGAACAGGAUUAGAUACCCUGGUAGUCCACGCGGUAAACGAUGAAUGCCAGGUGUUGCGGGUAUCGACCCCUGCAGUGCCGGAGUAAACACAAUAAGCAUUCCGCCUGGGGAGUACGGCCGAAAGGUUGAAACUCAAAGGAAUUGACGGG
rnacentral:rRNA from 1 species